UACGUAGGGUGCAAGCGUUGUCCGGAAUUAUUGGGCGUAAAGAGCUCGUAGGCGGUUAGUCGCGUCUGCUGUGAAAACUCGGGGCUUAACUCCGGGCCUGCAGUGGGUACGGGCUGACUAGAGUGCGGUAGGGGAGACUGGGAUUCCUGGUGUAGCGGUGAAAUGCGCAGAUAUCAGGAGGAACACCGGUGGCGAAGGCGGGUCUCUGGGCCGUUUCUGACGCUGAGGUGCGAAAGCGUGGGGAGCAAACAGG
rnacentral:rRNA from 1 species